UGGGAUUACAGGCGUGCGCCACCACACCCGGCUUGAACAGUAGGUUUUCAUCUUUUGAUUGAAAGUGGGUAAGGGCAGUGCGUUUAAACAGGUGAAGCAAGGUUUCCAGGCCGCAGUUAACCUUUUUAUUCUCUUCUUUUGCAGAUGUGAAGUGCAGAGACUCCCACUCACGGCUUCCCAUUCUGUUUCCUGCAACAGCACACACUGAUGGUGUCUCGCCUGUUUGGAAAUGGCUUGUGCUUUACCUUUAAUUCCUUGCUCUCCCAUCAAGACACAAGAAUCCUUCUUUUUCACUUGGGAAAAAGCCAUUUAAGUCAUACUGAAGUAUGGCGUUGGGGGGAAAAACAGGGUACCUGUACAAUUGCUCUAUGUUUUUAAUCUUAAGUUUUUUUUUUUUUUUUAAUUUUGGGUUAGGGUUUUUGCACUUUCGCUUUCACAGUUAGAAAGCAGAGUAAGACAAGUGUGCUUUCUACUGAUGUAUUUAUUUAACAGCAAGAGAGACACUCUAGUGUGUACGCUGUUGAAUCAAACAGAAGAGGAGGCCAGUGAUUGUGUGAGAAUCUGAAUUUCAAAUCUGCAAAAGAAAGUGCAAAAAGAGACCAUGAGCGUAUGGUGCAAUAGCCCUACUUUUGGUGGGAAAAUAUACAGCCAUUCUGAUGAAGCAGGAGCCAGGGAGGCUCUUUCCUAGUGGAGGUCGCAAGGGCAGUGCCCGGCCCUGUGUGAUGUGGACAGGAGCACUGUGGGAUGCCCGCUGCUGUCCUCCAGUGUUUGGGCCCCAUGGCAUUCCUGUGACGGUAUUUCCCAAAAGGGAAUAUAAGGACAAACCGGAAGCCAUGCAGCUCCAGAGUCACGCAUUCCAGGACGGGACCGAAGUCAAGCGCGAAGUGAAUGGUGCUGUUCCCAGCGCCCCCUGUCCUGUCCCGCCCCCCGAGCCCAGCUGCACGGAAAGCCUGUGGGCUUCCAAGCCGCCGCCUCUCUUCCAUGCAGGGGCACCUUACCCUCCCCCUUUGUUUAUCAGGGACACGUAUAACCAGUCAAUACCUCAGCCCCCUCCUCGGAAGAUAAAGCGCCCCAAACGGAAAAUGUACAGGGAAGAACCCACUUCGAUAAUGAAUGCUAUUAAGCUGCGACCCAGGCAAGUCCUGUGUGAUAAAUGUAAGAACAGUGUUGUUGCUGAGAAAAAGGAGAUCAGAAAAGGUAGCAGUGCCAGUGACUCUUCUAAGUACGAAGACAAAAAGCGGAGAAACGACGGUGUGGCUACUGUGAACAAAAAACUGAAAACUGACCAUAAAGUGGAUGGGAGAAACCAAAACGACAGCCAGAGAAGGAGCGCCGUGGUGAAGGUUCCAAGUAUCGCGCACAGUAGAGGCAGAGUAGUGAGGGUUUCUGCUCAGGCGAACACGUCAAAAGCGCAGUUAAGUACUAAAAAAGUGCUGCAGAGCAAGAACAUGGAUCACGCGAAAGCUCGGGAAGUAUUGAAAAUUGCCAAAGAAAAGGCACAGAAGAAGCAAAGUGAAACCUCUGCUUCCAAAAGCGCACAUUCAAAGGUCCAUUUCACACGGCGGUACCAGAAUUCUAGCUCAGGUUCCCUCCCGCCCCGCGUCCGCUUAAAACCGCAGCGGUACAGGAACGAGGAGAACGACUCUUCCCUGAAGACGGGACUGGAGAAGGCGCGGAGCGGCAAGGUGGCGCCCAAGCCCCAGUCCCGCUGCACCUCCACCCGCUCAGCAGGUCUCAACAAAUGGCAGCUAUUACAUCAGACAGUGACGAGUCCUGCUGCUCCCUUGCAGUGUCUGACAGACCACUGUGGAUUCAGACUGGGAGCAUUGAAGUUAACAGUGAGCCGGGCAGCACAGAGACAUUAGCAGGCUGCUGGUCUCACGGACCUGUGCCACAGCGACAGAACAACAGAGCGUCAGGACUGAAUGAAAUUGGAGACCCUUAAAGCUGCACUGAGAAGUAAACGUUAAGGCAGUGGUCAGAAGCGACAGUCUGUCAAGGGGCACUUGCAGACCUUACCAAACCAGACAGAGGUUUUCCACUGAUAAAGGGACUAGAGAGAAGCCAGGAGAGUAAGCCCCGUGCUGCCUGCGGGAGGGUUUGCAGCCCACUCCCGACGGGACGACGCGUACCGGGUGCCCGUGUGCAGGCACAGCUGCAGGAUGCAGGGAACACUUGGUGGAAGAGACGCUUGAGUACAGCUUAAAGUACUGACACUGGUCUUCAGAUAAGGAAGUAUUUCUUUUUCUCUUUUUUGGGUUUGUAAGACCAUCUCGCUACGCAGUUCAGGCUGGCCUUUUGAACUACUGGCGAUCCUGUUGCCUCAGACUCCCGAGUGCUGGGGUUACAGGUGUGCAUCACCAUGCCUGGCAUGGAAGUGUAAUUUCUGAUUCAUGCUUUGGAAUCAUGUAGGAGUUGUACAAGUGCCUCUUUGUCAUUGUAAAUACUUCAGAUAAAAGGGAUUUCCUGCUUUUCUUCCUGAUACAAUUGUCCUUUCAGGUUUUUUUCUUUUUUUGACACAGGGUCUCACAGUGGAGUUCAGAUUGGCCCAGGUUGGCCUCAGACUCCCAGCAAUCCUUCCACCUUUGCCUCUAGCUCCAGCCAACAGAAAAGCUGUUCAUGCGAAAUAAAGAUUCAAAAGCUCGACAUGAGAUGGAAAUCUGCUGUAAAGGUGGGGAGGCAGCUGAAAGCAAAGGACAAGUUAGGGGUAUUUAAAAGUCUCAAGAUACAUCCAAGAAAGAUGUAAAAACGAACUUCAAAGUCAGGAGACAAAGGCUGACAGGCGAAGGUCCAUGCCUGCUGUCCUAGGACAUGCUGUCGGCUGAGACGGGCCCCCCUGGCUUACAGCGGCCCUUGGAGAAGAUCAUUUCGAGCGUCAGAGGAACACGGCUGUGUUCUGAGUCACCGCUGAGAAACCAGCCUGGCCCUACACCCUUACACAUUCGCCAGAACCACGCAGUGCCUGCCUGGUGCAGUCACGCUGCAGAAAGUCCACGUGGCUAAGCGGGAUUAGAAACUCCGGGAAGCACACAGGGGAAACAGGUGGAUUCCCUGGCCUUGAGAUGAAUUCAGCGUCCACUGCCACCCACUGCAGUCUCUGUAGCGUCAGUCGGCUCUGAGGCCUCCCCAAGCGGCAUGGGUGUUACCAAGUACAGAGAUUAUCUUCAGGGGAUGGCUACUGGUUGUAGCAAACAGGACAUUUUUGAAAACAGGCAUUAAAAGGUGCAGAAUCUGGACAGUAAUGGAUGGCCACAUCGAGCGCCACCUUUUCUGCAAGGUUUAGUACCAACUCAGUGUCUAGUAGAACAGCCCAUGCUGGUGCUAAGACCAGAAACCUCACCUGGCACGGCUGGGGAUCAACAGUUACCCAGGGUGGCGGCACACAGGGAAACAGCAAUCAAACUAUUAUAAAGGAUGUGUUUAAGGGUCCUCACAGCAAUUUUUUUUUUUUUUUUUGAGAUAGGGUCUCGCUAGGUAGUUCAGGCUGGCUUUGAACUCAUGGCUAUCCUCCUGCCUCGGCCUCCCAAGUGCUGGGAUUAUAGGCGUGUGCCACCAAGCCUGGCAGCAAUUCUAAGAGAACAAAAGUAUGAUCCAUUUCAGUGUUGUUAGAUUAAGAUUAUAUACAGAGUGUAAUUACCCAGCCCCCCAAAAAGUAAAUUCUGGUCUAGAUUUUUGGUGGGGGGAAGAAGGUAUCAUACAAUUUUAUUUUUUGUACCAGGAAUCGAACUCAGGGCCUUGUGCUUGCCAGGCAGGCGCUUGUGCCACUGAGCUGCACCUCCGAGGCUCUAUCAUACAAUUUUAAAAUAAUUCAGCUCACCAAAACAGUGUUAACUUUUGUAUUGCAAACAUGCACUAAAUAACAAAAACCCUCCAAAAAACUAAGCCUGGCAUGAUAGCACAUCUGUGAGCCUUGCACUGUGGGAGGCUGAAAAUCUGAGUCCACCCUGAGUAACUUGGUGACUGGGUAAGACUCUGCCUCAAAAUUAAGAAAAAAAAAAAAAGGGUUGAGGAUAUAGCUCAGUGCAAAGGCCCUGGGUUUAAUCCCCAUACUGUAAAAACAACUUAGUGGUAGACUGCUUCUGGGUUUGAUACCUAGGGCCACAAAAAAAAACAAAAGGAAAAAAAAGUUUGCAACAUUAUAAAAUGCCAUCAGGCCUCUCACUAAAAGGUAUCUUUGUCCUGGAAGGUAUUUUCAAAAUUAUUCAUAUUAAUGAGCUACAUCUCCUACCCUUUAAUUUUUUCCAAGACUGUGGAAGGAUCCUAAGAUUACGGUUUUAAAAACACUGGUCCGGCAGAAGGCUGCCUGCACAGGAAGCACCUAACACCAGCAACUUUUGGCCAAGGUUUCUGUACAACGUGGGUGAUCUUUCACAGUUUUUGGAAAGCUGGAUGCCAGGCUUAACAUCAAGAAGGCGAAGAAAAGUGAACAACGUUCUUGCCCUUUCUGCCUCCCUGGUAAACCCCAAGGAAUGAUACUUCAGUCAGAGCCCGGUGUCACAAAUCGGAGUUAACAUAACGCUGUCCACUAACGUGCUGCGGGGGCUCCAGGAGCAGAUCAAGAGCACAACUUUGCUGCCACCGCAGCCGGUGGGAGCAGAAUCACUGCGUGCCAUUUACAGAAUCACACGGUCAUUCAUUCCCCACUUAAACUUGCAAGUCACUCCUGUGACACCCAAACCAGGACUGAAAGCUUUCCACUAGCACCACACAUGACCAGGAAGAAACAGAGCAAAACAACUCCCUGAAACCUCUGGCUUCAAGAGAUCCAAAAGACUCUGGUUUUGUUCUGGGACAUGUAUAUUAUCAUUCCUCAAUAAACAAUUUAAUUAUUUAUUGUGGUUUUUUGAGCCAGCAUCUUA